rnacentral:rRNA from 1 species
UACAGAGACCUCAAGCGUUAUCCGGAAUCAUUGGGCGUAAAGCGUACCGAUAGGUGGUUAUACAAGUCAGAAGUGAAAUUCCAAAAGCUUAACUUUGGGUCUGUCUUUUGAAACUGUAUAACUAGAAGGGCAAAGAGGAAGCUGGAACAAACGGUGUAGUAGUGAAAUGCGUUGAUAUCGUUUGGAACACCAAUAGCGUAGGCAGGCUUCUGGGUGCCACUUGACACUGCUAGGACGAAAGCGUGGGGAGCGAAUGGG